UGAAGCGGGAAAAGCUCAAAUUUAAAAUCUGGCGGUCUUUGGCCGUCCGAGUUGUAGUCUGGAGAAGUGCUUUCCGCGCUGGACCGUGUAUAAGUCUCCUGGAACGGAGCGUCAUAGAGGGUGAGAAUCCCGUCUUUGACACGGACUACCAGUGCUCUGUGAUGCGCUCUCAAAGAGUCGAGUUGUUUGGGAAUGCAGCUCAAAAUGGGUGGUGAAUUCCAUCUAAAGCUAAAUAUUGGCGAGAGACCGAUAGCGAACAAGUACCGUGAGGGAAAGAUGAAAAGCACUUUGGAAAGAGAGUUAAACAGUACGUGAAAUUGCUGAAAGGGAAACGCUUGAAGUCAGUCGCGUCAGCCGGAAAUCAGCCUUGCUUCCGCUUGGUGUACUUUCUGGUUGACGGGCCAGCAUCGAUUUUGACCGUUGGAAAAAGGCAGAGGGAAUGUGGCACCUUCGGGUGUGUUAUAGCCCUCUGUUGCAUACAACGGUUGGGAUCGAGGAACUCAGCACGCCUUCAUGGUCGGGGUUCGCCCACGUUCGUGCUUAGGAUGCUGGCGUAAUGGCUUUAAACGACCCGUCUUGAAACACGGACCAAGGAGUCUAACAUGCCUGCGAGUGUUUGGGUGGAAAACCCGAGCGCGUAAUGAAAGUGAAAGUCGGGACCUCUGUCAUGGAGGGCACCGACGCCCGGACCUGAAGUUCUCUGACGGAUCCGCGGUGGAGCAUGUAUGUUGGGACCCGAAAGAUGGUGAACUAUGCCUGAAUAGGGUGAAGCCAGAGGAAACUCUGGUGGAGGCUCGUAGCGAUUCUGACGUGCAAAUCGAUCGUCAAAUUUGGGUAUAGGGGCGAAAGACUAAUCG
rnacentral:rRNA from 1 species